GCCAAGGGGUGAUGACAAUAAAAGGCCAAAAUUGCAGUGUUUCCGCCCGGCAGUCGAUUCUCAGUGGGAGCACGGUGGCAGAGAAACACUGUCUGACCUCAGA